UGGAGAAGAAGGCGGGAACGCUGCAAACGCACACGCCCUGCUCCGCGUUGAGCAAAGCGCAACCUGUGCGCCCCUUUUGAUCGCGCGCCAGGAGGGCGUGCAAGAUCCGAGUUUACUUAUUUAUUUUUUAAAAAGCAGGGGAGCACAGCGAUUGUUUCUCUCUCUCUCUCUUUUUUUUAUCUGCGCGAUCAGGAUUAUGCCGCUUCAGCGUCAGGUUUGCGCGUUUGGAAACCAGCCCUUUAUUUUGGGAAGAGACACCAAGGAGGUCACAUCCAAAGGUGACACCCGAAAUCCUUGGUUACCCCCCACUUCUCUUGGCCCCUAAUCUGCACACUUGGGUUUCUUCGCUUUUCUGUUCCCCCACCAAGAGAGAGAGAGAGAGAAAGAGGGAAAAGGAGAAACCUACUUCGAUAAGUUUAUUUGCAAGAAGUAAACACCUCAAAAGCUUCCACUGAGCACCGCGCCCCCUUUUAAAGCCUAGGAAUAGUAGGUCAGUUUCGGGUCAUGGCAGAGCUGCUAAACAAUAGGCUUAGCUCGAUUUCGAUGUUAAUUCGGAUGGCGGGGAGCGAAGCUGGGUUCGAGUUGCUUGCAAAGAGCCCGUUAGCCCCCUUUUUUUACCAGGCUUGAACUCUCCAGGCGGCAUUUCAGGCUUCCCUCCUAGGCCCAAGUUUGGCCUGGUGUGCCUAACUGCGUCACCUAACCUUACCCUUACCUCACAGGGUUGUUGUGAAGAUGAAAUGGUGUGUGUGUGUGUGUAUGGAGGGGAACCAUUUGCACCACCUUGAGCUCCUUGGAAAAUAAAGGUGGCGUUUAAAUGCAAUAAAUAAAUACAAAUAAACAGUGAGCAAAUGCUGUUGAGGAGUGAGGCCUUUCCCUCACCCCUAAGCUGUCAAUAGGCAACAUUUUUAUUCAUUUCUUUUAAGCAAGCUAUAUCCCAGGGACAUCAUUUCCCUAUGUUUCUUCAAUGGUACCAGCCUGGCAAUGGGGUGUUGCUGGGUCGAGAUUCUGGCAAGCGCAAUUUCGACCUCACCAGCACCUUAGGGAAAGCCUUCACAGAAUGAAAUUCCCCACUUCAGAGGAAAAGAACAGGUGCCCCAAGCCUCAGUAUGUUAAUUCAGCACUUAACAGUUAUACGAACAUUCUUACUCAUUGGAACAAAUGAGAUGUGUGCCACGAUCCUAUACAUGUGUCUCAUAUCCUUCCUGCUGAUCCUAGUGGGAUUUACCCUUAAGCUUAGGUAUGCAAAGUUAAGUGCAGGGUUGCAUCCUGUGUUUUCAGGAGAAUGCCUUCUUGGUACUGGCACCCUCCCUGUGGAACGCCCUCCCUUCAGAUGUCAAGGAGAUAAAGAACUACAUAACUUUCAGAAGACAUCUGAAGGCAGCCCUGUAUCAGGAAGUUUUUAAUGUUUGAUAUAUGCUAUAAGCUGCCAAGAGUGGCUGGGGAAGCGCAACUAGAUGGGCAGAGUAUAAAUAUUAUUAUUAUUAUUCAUAGGACAGACAUAUAUUAAACUUGUAUCCAUCUAAAUGAAUUAACAUAGAGAAUAAAUAUAACAGAAGUCUGGAUUUUUAAUGGUUCCUCAGAAGUCCAAGGUCUUCAACAACGGAGACACAGUUUAAUUAUUGGAAACUCAUGUACUUCCCAGUUGUUUUGUACUACGUAAAGGGACGAUUUAUCUGGGUCCCCACUCAAAAUGUUUCAAGUUUUUCCUCUUGAUUUUUGUUACUCUUCUUUCUGAUUUCUAUUAUUAUUUCUCAUAGAUCAUCUUAAAAAUCAACUAUGAAUACUAAGAAAAUAAUUACACCUGGAGUUGCCAUAUUCAGAGAGAUGUUACAUGCCUUUGGAAAUUCCUAAUGGCUCCUGAUAAUGCUGUUGUCGUUGUCAUCAUUGGCUGACAAAGGUUGCCUCCAGAAAUGUAGGAGGAAUUAAAGCGUGUACCAGAAAUUAAGGUUUGCACAAUUAAAGUAUAUUAAAGUGUUUUGGCAUACUACCACAACAAAGACACUAAAAAAACCCCAAACUUUGUGGCAAGGAAAGUGACAUAAAUGUACUGAAAAGGUUUUGAUGAGCAAAUGAGUAACAUAUAAACACUAUUCAAGCAAAUUGUGGUGAAUGCUCAUAAUAACACGACCUCCACAUAAAUCAGAACAAAUGCUCAAUAAAUUCUAGACAUAAUCUAACCUCUAUGUAAACUUGUGCAAGUAAACCAGGAUGAAUGCUCAGCAGUGAAGGAAUACAACCAUGCAGUUUGCCUGUGUUACUUCACUGGGUAUGUAGUGUCUUAAGGUUCACACAUCUGCAGUGCCUACGUACAUUAGGAAAGUAAUAUUUACAUUAGAAAUUAAAUGCCUCAUGUCUUUCUGUUGCUAUGCUUCCAUUGCUAUUAUUAGGAAAGAAAUGUCAAAAGUAAGUGCAUUUCGAAAGUCAGGGUUGGGCAGAUGUGAAGACAUAAGAUUCCAAGGUAUAUUACCUUUUUUCCUGAAGGUAUUUAACAAUGCAGAUGACAAAAGCAAGCAGGCUCUGUGGAAUGGGAAUAUUCAUGAUCUUUUCCUGUAGCACAGUCACGCUUAAUAUCUGCUAUUACAAAUUAGGUGCCUAGAAACUUCUGGUGAGCACAUAGAACACUCCUACCUAAUCACUACCUUUUUUUGGCGCGGGUUGCUUUGUUGCUAGUUUCCUAACCAUGCUAUAUCGCAUCCAGGCUAAUGGGAUGCUGAUGACAGGGAUUCUUUCUACGCACUAUUGUAUUUAUUAGUUUAUACUUUCAGAUAUUCACUUCCCAAAUUAACUAUGCCCAAAUUCCUAUGAAUUCCAUGAUCUUAUUCCUAGAAAAUUUUCUGGAAGUCUUUUCUCCAGAAGGUACGCAGUUGUGCAAUUUUAAUUUAAUCCAAUUGAAUAGAUUUUAAUCCCCCUUUUCAAGAAAGUAUCCUCACAAAGCACAAUGUGUGAAUGAAACAACACAUAGCAACAAUAUAAAAAUGACAUAGUUUAAAACUUUAAAGCAUUCAAGAAGAGCAUGAGACACUUAUUCCCAGGGACGUGGGUUCAAGCCCCACAUUGGGCAAAAAGUUUCCUGCAUUGCAGGGGGUUGGACUAGAUGACCCUUGUGGUCCCUUCCAACUCUACAAUUCUAUGAUUCUAAUACUCAUAAAAUAGCCAUAAAAGCAUUCUGCUCUGUUCAGUCAUAGAACAAUACUGCUGAAUAAAAGCAGAUUCACCACCUCCACAGCCCAAUUAAAAUCAUUCCACAAAAGUGGCAGAGAACAAGUGCAUCUUCACAUCAAAACUUCAUUAGGAUGAAGGCCACCAGUGUAAAAGUCCUUUCCAGGAUCCCUGCAAACCUGAUAGUUCUCAUAGGCUGGUAUACAAAUUGUAUUUCCACAGACCUAAAGUGAUCCAGUUAUAAUCAUAAACAGGAAAAGACGGGCCAAUACCAACAUCUGACACUGGCUCACUGGAGGAAACAGACAAAAGCCACCACUCAAUGGCUGCUUUGGGUAAUUGUAGGUUACCUCUGUGUUUACUUAUGUAUUUACAUUGAUUUGUUGGUGGAGAACUAUGAGGACCUAUGCCGUGGGUCAAUAUUUUUGUGGUCCUGGAAUUCACCAGAUCUGUGAUUUUUACUGUGCAGUUUACCAAUGUAAGUUUUAAUUUGACAGUGGUUUUUUGUUUUUUUGUAAAAUCAUGCAGAUUCAAAAGGAUAUAUUUUAAUUCUGUUGGAUCUGAUAUUCACACAGAUCCCAUGGAAAAGCAAUGUGUGCCUGUGCUGGCUCUUUUUCUGUCUUAGGGGUGUGGAGAGUUUGCUGGGCGGGGAGAGAAGCAACCAGAGUAGGUGGUGCCCAAAGUACCCCCCCCCCAAUCCAGUUGUGCUCCUGGACCAAAAAGGUUGGCCAAGUGAAAUAUUUCCUUCUGAACUGGAAGUUUGCAGACCCUUCCACAGACGUUACUGGUGGGUAGAUAGACAUAAAAAACUUUAAACAUGGUGGCUGUUGUUAAUGUGGAGAUCCAGUCAAGUCUAUGACAAAUUAUGUCCCAUGUACUAACAUUCAAUGGAUCCUUCAACCGAGGUUCAGAUUUGCUCCGCCGUGACCCAGUGGAACAGGGAAGAAAACUUAACCAGUAGAAUCACAGACUCGGCACUGAAACUAAUCACUCGGAGCAAAAGUCAGUGUGGAUGAACCCUAAACCUCUCCUGAACUUUGCUGUCAGAUAAAAGUGGGAGUUAGGGCAAUCUCAUACCCAGAAGUGAAAGAAUGUUUAUCAUGUAUGCAUUUAGCAACCAAGUCAGAUUCGUUUUCGUAUGCACGUUUAUAUGUGAUAGCGUUAUUAUAUUGUAUUAUUUUAAUGGAAGCUGUGUUGGGAAUCCUUCUGGAUCCAUAGGUGGGACAAACAUCAAAUAAAUAUGUUAAUAAGAAA
rnacentral:lncRNA from 1 species